UCUUUGCAUCCGAUUUUUGGUGUUCCGAUCACGAGGUCUCGCGAUCGGAAUGAAAAGGGAAUCAGGUGAAAGUCCUGAACAGACCCGCUGCUGUAAGCUCCGCCUACGUGCUGAACAAAUAACCCAAUGCCACUGUCCCGAUCAGGGAUGGGAAGGCGUUCAGACACGGGAGUAAGUCAGAAGACCUGCCAGAAACGCAAGAACAAC
rnacentral:ncRNA from 1 species